GUGAGGAAUAUUGGACAAUGGGCGCAAGCCUGAUCCAGCCAUGCCGCGUGCAGGAAGACGCAUCUAUGGUGUGUAAACUGCUUUUGUACGGGAAGAAACACUCCCUCGUGAGGGAGCUUGACGGUACCGUAAGAAUAAGGAUCGGCUAACUCCGUGCCAGCAGCCGCGGUAAUACGGCGGAUCCAAGCGUUAUCCGGAAUCAUUGGGUUUAAAGGGUCCGUAGGCGGUUUAAUAAGUCAGUGGUGAAAGCCCAUCGCUCAACGAUGGAACGGCAAUUGAUACUGUUAGACUUGAAUUACAAGGAAGUAACUAGAAUAUGUAGUGUAGCGGUGAAAUGCUUAGAUAUUACAUGGAAUACCAAUUGCGAAGGCAGGUUACUACUUGUGGAUUGACGCUGAUGGACGAAAGCGUGGGGAGCGAACAGGAUUAGAUACCCUAGUAGUCC
rnacentral:rRNA from 1 species